rnacentral:rRNA from 1 species
UAUCAUUAACUGAAUCCAUAGGUUAAUGAGGCGAACCGGGGGAACUGAAACAUCUAAGUACCCCGAGGAAAAGAAAUCAACCGAGAUUCCCCCAGUAGCGGCGAGCGAACGGGGAGGAGCCCAGAGCCUGAAUCAGCAUGUGUGUUAGUGGAAGCGUCUGGAAAGGCGCGCGAUACAGGGUGACAGCCCCGUACACAAAAGCGCAUGUGCUGUGAGCUCGAUGAGUAGGGCGGGACACGUGGUAUCCUGUCUGAAUAUGGGGGGACCAUCCUCCAAGGCUAAAUACUCCUGACUGACCGAUAGUGAACCAGUACCGUGAGGGAAAGGCGAAAAGAACCCCGGCGAGGGGAGUGAAAAAGAACCUGAAACCGUGUACGUACAAGCAGUGGGAGC